UGGGGAAUCUUCCGCAAUGGACGAAAGUCUGACGGAGCAACGCCGCGUGAGUGAUGACGGCCUUCGGGUUGUAAAGCUCUGUUAAUCGGGACGAAUGGUUCUUGUGCGAAUAGUGCGAGGAUUUGACGGUACCGGAAUAGAAAGCCACGGCUAACUACGUGCCAGCAGCCGCGGUAAUACGUAGGUGGCAAGCGUUGUCCGGAAUUAUUGGGCGUAAAGCGCGCGCAGGCGGAUUGGUCAGUCUGUCUUAAAAGUUCGGGGCUUAACCCCGUGAUGGGAUGGAAACUGCCAAUCUAGAGUAUCGGGGAGGAAAGUGGAAUUCCUAGUGUAGCGGUGAAAUGCGUAGAUAUUAGGAAGAACCCCAGUGGCGAAGGCGACUUUCUGGACGAAAACUGACGCUGAGGCGCGAAAGCCAGGGGAGCGAACGGG
rnacentral:rRNA from 1 species